GACGAACGCCGGCGGCGCGCUUAACACAUGCAAGUCGAGCGAGAACCAGGACUUCGGUCCUGGGGACAGCGGCGAACGGGCGAGUAACACGUGGAUAACCUGCCCUCGGCACCGGGGAUAGCCCGAGGAAACUCGGAUUAAUACCGGAUAGCCCUUCCGACUCUCGAGUCGGUCUGAAAAGGUGCUUCGGCCUCUGGCCGAGG
rnacentral:rRNA from 1 species